rnacentral:lncRNA from 1 species
CCGCCUCGGCCUCCAAAAGUGCUGGGAUUACAGGCGUGAGCCACCGUGCCCGACCCAGAAUCUGCAUUUUUUAACAAGAUUGCUAGGUAAUUUGGUUUGUGAGCACACUGAAGUUUGGGAAGUCGUGUGCCUCUUUUAGGGAAGCUAGUGCAGCAGAAGUGCUGGCCACAGGACCGGCAGGCAGAGGAGACUUCACAGUUCCUAUUGUCCACCACUUGACCCCCUCGAUGCCCUCAUUCAUUCGAAUCCCCCUUCGCCCUAGUACUUAAAAGUGUUUACUGUGCUUGGUGAAUGAGUCACACGGCACAGGUGCAUCUGCGUCGAUAGAGGGCAGUCUUUUUUUCUAGCAAUUAGUUGACGCCAUUAGGCUCUUCUGAUGGAGUCUCGGUUGCGAGAGGUGAGGCCUUUCGCUGGGCUGCAGGAUAGCGGCCCUUACCACUUGUGGUCAUUAAAGUUCCCGUGGUGCUUUUUGUGAGUGAAGGGAUUGUUAACCUCGGCGUCCUGGCUGACUUCCAAUCUGUGUAAUUACAUUCAGCCUACCUAAGUCUGCUCUGUAGUUUCAAUUAGGUAAAGUAUUGUUCACUUCUUAUACUAAACUGCUGUGUUGUGUGGCUACAGACUGCUAAUUAGCUAGUGUUUUUCAGGUAGCUGCAUUCAUGACGAACAAAACGCUCUCUCUGGUCAUCAUCUUCCCCGCCCCCACUCUCCCCAGUAUCCACAAUCCUACAUACAACUAACUGCAGGCCAAUUUUCUAUAUAUUACCAUUUCUUGGAAAAAAAAGUGCUUUGGGAUCAGAAAUUUCUCGUACAUGACAAUGAACAUUUCUUUUGAUUCUCUAUGUAGCCACCUGCUUCUAACCUUAUCUAACUUAUUAUAGGGUGUAUGUGUGGGAAACCCAUGCAGAGAAUAAAAAGAAUGUGACAACAGGUGGAAGAAAUAGGCCUUCCUCUGCCAAGAUGAAGGGUACAUUUCUGUGAUUGCCAGGGAAGUAUGAAUUGCUUUAAGAGCUUGCCACUCCAGGAAUUGGUUAUUUUAAAUGUGAUAUGAAAGGAAGAUGAGGUCAGAGAGGGCAGGGCGUACAUUUAUUUCUUUUUUCCCACUAGUUAGAAAAAUAUAGUAGGACAUGUAAACUAGCAGUAAAAUGCCUCAAUAUCUCUGUGGGGAAUAUCUGGCCCUAAAUAGGAAAUGUGGCACCAGGAGAGAGAAUGGAAUUCCCUUCUGUUGACUUAAAAGUUAGCACCAGGGGAAGUACGUGGCUCUGGAAUGGCAGUUGGAAAUGAAAGAAAAGUGGAAAAGAUGGGUGAGCAGGAAGCCAAGAGGGCAGAGUUGCAAGGGCAGAGUUGUGCUGUUAUCAAAGAAGAGAUGUGUUUGAGAAUGGAAUCUUUCUGAGAUGUGAAAUGAUUGCUAUGAAGUGUCCAGAUGGAAAAAAAUUCUGAUUUAGAUAACAUAUCACUUUACAUGCCUUUUCACUAUGUAAGCAAAUUUAAUCUGUUUUAAUGCCCAACAACAUAUACACAGAUUAAUUAGACAAAAGUUCAUUUGGAGUGAUUUCUUUAUCUUUUCGUAUCACAAACUCUAUGGGAGGUAAAUGAAAAUCAAUAAAUGAAGUAAAGAAAUGAAUGUACAAAAUUGAUAUAGGGAAGACUAUGAAGAGGCGUCUAUUGACCAUCAGUUCAUGGAGAGCAGGAAAAGAGGUGUUUUCAGUGCCAGAGAACCAACCUAUGUCUUGCCCACCCCUUACAGCGGUUCUGUCCCAACGUGUUCUACUUGUUGUCUCUUUGAAAUGAGAAAGAAGAGAAGGGGUUUACUUAGUCCAAUGGAAGGACUGACUUAAUGCCUGUUAAAAAUAGGCUGGUUUACAAAUUCCUGUUAGAAGUGGAAGGAUAUAGAGCCAGAAAAUGGGGAUUAAGAAUGAGAUUGAGGGAUGUGAACACUCCCAGACAUGGGAAGGGAAGCUUCCAGAUCCUAGAGCUUUAUUGCUUUCCUGGUAAAAGUGUCUUCAUUUCCAGCUCAGCAUCUACCACACAGUAAAAGGUCAUUAAUUAGGAGAAGAUUUAUCUCAAGGAAACGUAUGAUCUGUGGGUAGUGUGGUCAAAGAUGACUUCUGCAGAUAAAAACAUCAUCUUGUAUGCAAGAGAUACGACCCUCUUUUAUAUAGUUGAACUGCAAAGACUACCUUACUGUUCACUCCCAGAAUGGCAAAAAGAUAGAUGAAGAUGGAGAAAUGUGCACCUAACACUGCAUCUUUAUGAGCAAAGGAUUUUCUUUGGAAAAACUGUGAUUAUAUGAAAAUCAUAGGACAUUUUAUUUGUGACUACAGGGCGUGGUGAAAACCUCUGCUACCAUACUGGAUACAAGGUCUUUAACUUCUCAGCACCAGUUUUAUGGAGCCCCCACCGCUAAGCAAGUAUGCAAAAUGCAGUGCUGCUUCGCAUUGGGAAAUCCCCAAUCUGGUGCCAAGAGGUUCAUAAAUACAGUAAUGGACCCUCUUAUGUCAAAAGUGAGUACUGUUUAACAGCGUAAGUUGGAACAGCCUUCAGGAUGCUUUGCAGCUGCAGUUGUUCCACUGCAAGACAUCACAAACUUCAUGAUGAUGGUUGUCACACCAGGUCCUGGAAAGGCAACCUACUUCAGUCUGCAAAGUGAACUAAAAGGGAAUGGUUGUUCAUACAUGGCCCUGAUGCCACUGACAUAAGAAACGCAAUGACAAGAGCGAUGAAGUAGGAAUUUGGUGGCAGAUGGUCAGGUCUGCAGGAAGUGUCCACCCAGCUUUGUUUGGCCCAUAUUCUGAAACAACUAGAAUAAACACUUAGUGUCAUAAUUUAUAAGCAUAUCAGUACCAAUAAAUCAGAAUCAUGCAAACAGU